rnacentral:rRNA from 1 species
CUGCAGCACGAGUGGUGAUCGUUUUUAUUGAGCCUAAAGCGUCCGUAGCCGGACUAGUAAACCCUUGGGUAAAUUGGGCAGCUUAACUGUCCAAAUUCCGAGGGGACUGCUAGUCUUGGGACCGGGAGAGGUCAGAGGUACUCAAGGGGUAGGCGCUAAAUCCUGUAAUCCUUUGGGGACCACCAGUGGCGAAGGCGUCUGACUAGAACGGAUCCGACGGUAAGGGACGAAACCCUGGGGCGCGAACCGGAUUAGAUACCCGAGUAGUCC